CAGAGGACGUGGAUAAACUCGGGAAACUGAGGCUAAACCGCGAUAGACCAAGAUACCUGGAAUGGUUUUUGAUCAAAAUCUAUAUGGCCUUUGGAUUGGACUGCGACCGAUCAGGCUGUUGGUGAGGUAAUGGCCCACCAAACCUGUAACCGGUACGGGCUCUGAGAGGAGGAGCCCGGAGAUGGGUACUGAGAAAAGGACCCAGGCCCUAUGGGGCGCAGCAGGCGCGAAACCUCUGCAAUAGGCGAAAGCCUGACAGGGUUAUUCUGAGUGACUUUCGCUAAGAAAGUCUUUUGACAUCUCUAAAAAUGGUGUAGAAUAAGGGGUGGGCAAGUCUGGUGUCAGCCGCCGCGGUAAUACCAGCACCCCGAGUGGUCGGGACGAUUAUUGGGCCUAAAGCAUCCGUAGCCGGUUUUACAAGUCCUCCGUUAAAUCCAACUGCUUAACAGAUGGGCCGCGGAGGAUACUAUAAGACUAGGAGGCAGGAGAGGCAAGCGGUACUCAG
rnacentral:rRNA from 1 species